rnacentral:tRNA from 1 species
UAUGAUAUGGCUCAGUGGUACAGCACUUACCUGGCAUGCAAGAGGCCCUGGGUUCCAUAUCCAGCACCAAAA